rnacentral:rRNA from 1 species
UACGUAGGGGGCAAGCGUUGUCCGGAUUCAUUGGGCGUAAAGAGCGUGUAGGCGGCCAGGUAGGUCCGUUGUGAAAACUCGAGGCUCAACCUCGAGACGUCGAUGGAAACCAUCUGGCUAGAGUCCGGAAGAGGAGAGUGGAGUUCCUGGUGUAGCGGUGAAAUGCGCAGAUAUCAGGAAGAACACCUAUGGCGAAGGCAGCUCUCUGGGACGGUACUGACGCUGAGACGCGAAAGCGUGGGGAGCGAACAGG